rnacentral:rRNA from 1 species
CCAGACUCCUACGGGAGGCAGCAGUGAGGAAUAUUGGUCAAUGGGCUUACGCCUGAACCAGCCAAGUCGCGUGAGGGAAGACUGCCCUAUGGGUUGUAAACCUCUUUUGUCAGGGAGCAACGCCGGCUACGUGUAGCCGGACUGAGAGUACCUGAAGAAAAAGCAUCGGCUAACUCCGUGCCAGCAGCCGCGGUAAUACGGAGGAUGCGAGCGUUAUCCGGAUUUAUUGGGUUUAAAGGGUGCGUAGGCGGAAUAUCAAGUCAGCGGUAAAAAUUCGGGGCUCAACCCCGUCGUGCCGUUGAAACUGGCAGUCUCGAGUUGGAGAGAAGUAUGCGGAAUGCGCGGUGUAGCGGUGAAAUGCAUAGAUAUCGCGCAGAACUCCGAUUGCGAAGGCAGCAUGCCGGCGCCCAACUGACGCUGAAGCACGAAAGCGUGGGUAUCGAACAGGAUUAGAUACCCCGGUAGC